rnacentral:lncRNA from 1 species
GCACGCUGAGCUGUGCCCGGUCCCACCGCAUUAGCGCAGCUGUUUAUGCACUUAAUGCCACCUGCAGCUAUACAUGCUGCAGGCCACGAAUCACCGAGAGGACUUUUGGGUGGUAUAAAUCAUUUAUAUUGUUGAGCUUUCGAGCAGACGCAGCCAUUUAUCCUCAGUUCAAGGAGACGCGGGCGGCUUAAGACGCUCGUCAGCGGCGUGUUUGGAGGGAGCUCGUAACAAGCUGUCAAGCUGUGAACGGAGACGUGCAACGAGCUCCCGGGAGGAACUGCGCACGCGCGCGUCAGGCGAGCGGACCCUCCGCCGUGCGUCACGUACGCGCCGCGCGCGCCGCAGACGGGAACUUUGGGGGCGCUCCGAGGGAGUCUGGCGCCGUCUCGCGCCCACGUAAUCGGCCCAUCUUAAGAAGAUGGAUCAAAACAAGAGAGACGAGCAGAGAUCGCAGUCACGAUAGGCGGAUCUGUAAUUCAGCGCGUCUAAUCGGCACCGGGCGCAAUGCGUUUGCUGCAAACAGCUCUUAGCUUUUUGUCACGGCUGCGCAUGCGUGCAGGUGGGACCUUAGAACGAGGCACGACCACCGGGCCUCGCGUGAAAGUCACACAGCUCUUAAACGAUUCCUUACAGGUUCAGACGCUUGGAAAUGUCACAGUCAGAGACAGUGGGAGGAUCCAGAUGUUGUGGAAGCCGGUGCGUGGAGGUGAGCCGCGUGGGGAGUCGUUCUCUCUAAUCGUCGCGUUUUGCCGCGAAGGUGCCUCCUGGGGACGACGGAAGCGGCGGAGGAGGCGGCCACACGCGCUGCGCUCCCGCGUGGGAUCGGCUCCGCGCGCUUCCACCGCAUCAAGCGCGGCGAGUCGGCGGCGCGUGCGCAAAGAGUUUGGCUUCAACAAAGGGAGACACGGGCGAGAUCAAGCGGAGCUGCUGCGUCGGAGGAAGACGGAGACACGUGAUAAUGAAAAGCAACGUCCUGCGGCAGAACUGGAACACGUGGCCUCCAACUCAAACGUCUACUUCACCUCGUCUGUGCAACGGGUCCUCAUUAAAGACGGCGCAGAGCACCAGCUGGGCUCCUCACAGGCGCGUUGUGGAGGAACCAGACAAGAACCAGGAACCCGACAGUGGCGCCGCCAGCGGUCGGAGGCCUCUGGGGAACCUGACGGAGCGGCGUCUCAGUAGCACUCAGCACAUCAAUCACGUCUUUAUG